UACGUAGGGGGCAAGCGUUGUCCGGAAUUAUUGGGCGUAAAGAGCGUGUAGGCGGUUCGAUAAGUUUGCUGUAAAAGUCGGGGGCUCAACCCCCGAAAGCCGGUGAAUACUGUCGGACUAGAGUACGGAAGAGGCGAGUGGAAUUCCUGGUGUAGCGGUGAAAUGCGCAGAUAUCGGGAGGAACACCAGUGGCGAAGGCGAUCACCUGGGGUUAAUCUGACGCUGAGGAGCGAAAGCUAGGGGAGCAAACGGG
rnacentral:rRNA from 1 species